rnacentral:rRNA from 1 species
UACAGAGGGUGCAAGCGUUGUUCGGAAUUAUUGGGCGUAAAGGGUGCGUAGGCGGUGCGGUAAGUCUUUUGAGAAAUCUCCGGGCUCAACUCGGAGCUUGCAGGAGAAACUGCCGUGCUUGAGUAUGGGGGAGGUGAGUGGAAUUCCUGGUGUAGCGGUGAAAUGCGUAGAUAUCAGGAGGAACACCUGUGGCGAAAGCGGCUCACUGGACCAUUACUGACGCUGAUGCACGAAAGCUAGGGGAG